UACGUAGGGGGCAAGCGUUGUCCGGAUUCAUUGGGCGUAAAGAGCGUGUAGGCGGCCAGGUAGGUCGGUUGUGAAAACUGGAGGCUCAACCUUCAGACGUCGACCGAAACCAUCUGGCUAGAGUCCGGGAGAGGAGAGUGGAAUUCCUGGUGUAGCGGUGAAAUGCGCAGAUAUCAGGAGGAACACCUGCGGUGUAGACGGCUUACUGGACCAUAACUGACGCUGAGGCACGAAAGCGUGGGUAGCAAACAGG
rnacentral:rRNA from 1 species